rnacentral:rRNA from 1 species
AUCUUGCACAAUGGAGGAAACUCUGAUGCAGCGACGCCGCGUGAGCGAUGAAGCCCUUCGGGGUGUAAAGCUCUUUCGACAGGGACGAUAAUGACGGUACCUGGAGAAGCAGCUGCGGCUAACUACGUGCCAGCAGCCGCGGUAAUACGUAGGCAGCAAGCGUUGUUCGGAGUUACUGGGCGUAAAGGGUGUGUAGGCGGCUUUCUAAGUUCGGUGUGAAAUCUCCCGGCUCAACCGGGAGGGUGCGCCGGAAACUGGCAGGCUAGAGUGUGGGAGGGGAAAGUGGAAUUCCUGGUGUAGCGGUGAAAUGCGUAGAUAUCAGGAGGAACACCUGUGGUGUAGACGGCUUUCUGGACCAUAACUGACGCUGAGACACGAAAGCGUGGGUAGCAAAC